rnacentral:lncRNA from 1 species
AGAAGAUGGCCACAGAGACAGACAGCAGCGUGGUCAGAGUGGUAGGAGCCGGCCAUCAGCGAGAGCUGCUCCAUGCCUGGCUGCUGGGUGCUAGAGUCUGCGGCCCACUGGCUUGCCUCACUGUGGUUGGUGGUGGCGGUGACAGAGACUGCAGCAUGACCAGAGUGGCUUUUCUGGCUUUGCCCGCCCAGCUGCUCCAUGCCAGGAGGAGGAGGAGACACCUAGAGCCUGCAACACCACGGCUCGCCUCGCUACAGUCAGUUCUAGAGUGUAUGAAGAACCAAAUGAUGUAAUUGUAUGCGACCUGGCUGUAGUGGAACAAAUUUGACUCUAAAGUAUGCAGGCUCUAAUUUUCCUGUCUGGUUUUGUCUAGGGAGAUGACUCAUCAGAAAAAGAAGAAAAAAGAGGUAUUUGGAAAUUGUGCAAAUUAAAGCAGCCCCUGAUGCCAAAGUCUACACAUUCCUGAGUGAGUCAGUUCUGGCCAGUUCUAGCUGGAUCAAGAGAGCUCUGCUGGGCAGGCCUGAAGAGCACCUGGAUGGCAGACACCUGAGGAGCCAGGUGCCUGAAACUUCCUCCACCUACUUGAGGAGUGCCAAAGCCCAGGUGCUGGCUGGACAACCCCUUCUGGCUGCCUAAGCAGAUGGCAGAAGAAGGAAACAAGGUCAGAGGCAGAGUGUUGAACCCUGCCUCCCAGCCCCCACAUCACCCAACCAACCAGCAGAGAUCCUCCUUCCCAAGAAACAGAUAAAGAAACUGAGGCCCAGGAAGGCUAAGAGUCCUGCCAGGAUUAUUCACCUUUCAAGCAGCCAAGCAAGCACUGGCUGUGAGAGAUGGCUGUGAGAGAAGAUUAAAACAAUUACAACUCACCCAGUUCACAGAUGCUGAGUAACUGAUCUCCUGCCCCACUAACCUUAACGACAGCUUUCUCUGGACAAGGGACUGAUUUCAGUAACUUUCUCCUGAUAAGAGACCAUCCUCCAUGGACUGGUUCUGGCCAGUUUUAGAGGCUGUGCCUUUACGAGGCUGAGUACCUUCAUGUCCCUGCUUCACUUUUUGAUGUGUAGGGCCUAAUUAUAAUACAUUUAAAUGUCAAGUCUCCACCCCAGAAUGAACAUGCAUGUUUAUUGAAUAUGCAUGUGUUAGGACCUCUUUUAUGAGUAUUCUCAUAAAAUGAUAUAGCUCCUCUGAUAUCCUAUUGAGUAUGUAUAUGUAGCCAACUCAUUUGGCUCAAAUUCCUGUCCUCUCCCUCCCUCCCUGGAAAUGCCUGCCUCUGGCCUUGGCUGUAGGCCACACUUCCCAGCCUGUCAUAAUGGCCACCUUGCAGACUGCAAACCUUUAUAAGAAAUAAAGCUCUCUUUUCUAAAUUUAUAAAAUUGUGUGAUUUUUCA